rnacentral:rRNA from 1 species
UAAUUGAAGAGUUUGAUCAUGGCUCAGAUUGAACGCUGGCGGCAGGCCUAACACAUGCAAGUCGAGCGGUAACAUUUCUAGCUUGCUAGAAGAUGACGAGCGGCGGA